UGUAUGUGCACGUGUGCUUGUGUGUUUUUGUGCAUGGACCCACACGUUGUGAGAGCAGUGUGUUUACAGGUUUGUUGGGUUGCACAUAGUCGUGCAGUCCUUCCCAGAGGAACAAUGCUGGUCCUCUCCCCUCAGCGCAGUAUGCUGUGUGUAAACAACGUGGAUGGGAGCACUCGUAGGGACAAACAGAAGGACACGAUUCUGAGAGUAAAUAGACGGUCCAUCACCACGUCGACUUUUCAUCCUCCCAGGCGAUGGUUCAUUUCCAUUCCAGCGGCGAUGAGAGAGCGACAUGACAGAGCAAGGCAUCGCUCCAGCACUCCCAGGGCCAGAUCUCCUCGGUGAUAACAUCAACACACCUGCGAAACCACGUCGACCGAGCCGCUCAUCUGACGGUGUUUAGACUGGCCGUGGGAAAAUGACAGCCGCAGCCGUGAGCAUUACCGCACAGGCUCUCCGUCAUCACCGCUGAGAGGACUCUGUGUGGGUGUCAGUUAAGAAGUACAUGUAAGAAAAGCAGCCAGUGCAUUGUUAUAAGUGGAGUGUACUCACUGUUACGAGUGGUCUAUUGAGUCGAACAUUCGGGCAGUCCCAAGCACUAUUUUGAGGUUGGUGUUUUGGUAUUCACUUUUAUAUCAUAUUUUAUUUAUAUUUAUUAUAUAUUUUUUUUACAAAUUCUGAUAAAAAAGGAUGUGUUGAACUUGGACUUGCAGAUGGAUUUGAUAAACACUGAUGUUAUAUUGUGUGAUGUGGAUGUAAACAGCACACGUGCUCACUUUUUAAUGCAGUUUACCCUUAACUGUUACCCCAGAACUCUGAAUCGAUUCCUUUCCGAUUUGCACUUAUAGCUGUUAUCAUUCGGGUGAUGCAACACAAUGUCAAAUCACGGUCAGUCAAUGUUGAAAUAAAUCCAGAAACUCGUCCCCUUGCUCUACGGAAUUAACCUUCGUUGAAACACUGCCCUGAUCAACAGGGCCUGCGAUGACCUCCGACCUCUCCUCCGCGUCUACUGGAAGAGAAGGAGGGGGCCCCCACGGUGGCCAUUUUGUCAGGGCCUGAGACAGAGAGGCAGCCCAGUGUUUAGAUAGAGUAGGAGUCACUGUAAGCUGUCUGAAGUGGAGUCUUCCUCUCUCACUAGAAAACAGAACCCUCUGAAAACAAACUGCCUCAAGAGAGAGGGACAGCUAGCGUGUUUGUGUGUGUGUGUGUGUGUGUGUGUGUGUGUGUGUUUGUGUGUGUGUGUGUGUGUGUGUGUGUGUGUGUGUGUGUGUGUGUGUGUGUGUGUGUGUGUGUGUGUGUGUGUGUGUGUGUGUGUGCGUGUGUGUGUGUGUGUUUUGUUAUUAAAAUAAUAACAGAAAACCAAAGUUAUGGUACAAAUAAUGACGCGUGUGCGUGAGUGUGUGUGUGUGUGUGUGUGUGUGUGUGUGUGUGUGUGUGUGUUUGUGCACAUGCGGGCCCGCCUGUGUGUGUGUGUGUGUGUGUGUGUGUGUGUGUGUGUGUGUGUGUGUGCGUGUG